rnacentral:rRNA from 1 species
AAGUCGAACGGAAAGGCCCUGCUUGCACGGUACUCGAGUGGCGAACGGGUGGGUAACACGUGGGUGAUCUGCCCUGCACUUCGGGAUAAGCUUGGGAAACUGGGUCUAAUACCGGAUAGGACCGCACUUUAGUGUGUGUGGUGGAAAGUUUUUUCGGUGUAGGAUGAGCUCGCGGCCUAUCAGCUUGUUGGUGGGGUAAUGGCCUACCAAGGCGGCGACGGGUAGCCGGCCUGAGAGGGUGUACGGCCACAUUGGGACUGAGAUACGGCCCAGACUCCUACGGGAGGCAGCAGUGGGGAAUAUUGCACAAUGGGCGCAAGCCUGAUGCAGCGACGCCGCGUGGGGGAUGAAGGCCUUCGGGUUGUAAACUCCUUUCGCUAGGGACGAAGCUUUUUGUGACGGUACCUAGAUAAGAAGCACCGGCUAACUACGUGCCAGCAGCCGCGGUAAUACGUAGGGUGCGAGCGUUGUCCGGAAUUACUGGGCGUAAAGGGCUCGUAGGUGGUUUGUCGCGUCGUCUGUGAAAUUCUGGGGCUUAACUCCGGGCGUGCAGGCGAUACGGGCAUAACUUGAGUGCUGUAGGGGUAACUGGAAUUCCUGGUGUAGCGGUGAAAUGCGCAGAUAUCAGGAGGAACACCGAUGGCGAAGGCAGGUUACUGGGCA